AAACUGCACAUGAUGUAGUAGAACCAUGUGACUAGCUCUCUUGCCAAAUUUUUAUUUUGCUUGAAGCAGCCACUGGGGGAAGGAGUGUACCUUUUGCCCACCUCAGCCAUCAGGGUUUCUGGCUGUAGACUUGCUCUCCUGACACAUCAAAGCCAUGGACAGCUAUUCUUCUACAUGAUCUGACAAUUAUGUUCCUUGCCCAGUUUUCUGCUCUUUUUACCAUCGAACAGCCUGGAGCUCCAUGAAUCAUAAGCAACAGCAAUUCAGUGUGAAGAAUAAUAGAAGCUCUGUGAUCCAAAGUCUUCACUCUGAUCUCAACAGCCAAACUUAAUGCAAGGGAACAAAGUUCUGCAUUGACCGAUAUCUACCACCUUUGGGCCAAUACACAGCUUGAUGAAGCAUAUUAACCCAGUGAACAUUCCCUUCUCUU